rnacentral:rRNA from 1 species
AUUGAACGCUGGCGGCAUGCUUUACACAUGCAAGUCGAACGGCAGCGCAGGCUUCGGCCUGGCGGCGAGGGGCGAACGGGUGAGUAAUACAUCGGAACAUGCCCAUUUGCUGUGGAGAGGUCGGCGAAGGCCGGAUAAAUACCCCAAUAGACCUGACGGUCUAAGCGUGGGAGCUUCGGAUCUUGCGCCCUUGCGCGGGCGGAUGGGCGAUUAGCUAGUUGGUGGGGUAAAGGCCUACCAAGGCGACGAUCCGUAGCUGGUCUGAGAGGACGACCAGCCACACUGGGACUGAGACACGGCCCAGACUCCUACGGGAGGCAGCAGUGGGGAAUUUUGGACAAUGGGCGAAAGCCUGAUCCAGCAAUGCCGCGUGUGUGAUGAAGGCCUUCGGGUUGUAAAGCACUUUUGGCGGGAAAGAAAAGGACUGGGCCAAUACCACGGUGUGAUGACGGUACCCGAAGAAUAAGCACCGGCUAACUACGUG